rnacentral:rRNA from 1 species
AUUGAACGCUGGCGGAAUGCUUUACACAUGCAAGUCGAACGGCAGCACGGACUUCGGUCUGGUGGCGAGUGGCGAACGGGUGAGUAAUACAUCGGAACGUGCCCGGACGUGGGGGAUAACUACUCGAAAGAGUGGCUAAUACCGCAUACGAUCUAAGGAUGAAAGCGGGGGAUCGCAAGACCUCGCGCGUUUGGAGCGGCCGAUGGCAGAUUAGGUAGUUGGUGAGGUAAAGGCUUACCAAGCCCGCGAUCUGUAGCUGGUCUGAGAGGAUGAUCAGCCACACUGGGACUGAGACACGGCCCAGACUCCUACGGGAGGCAGCAGUGGGGAAUAUUGGACAAUGGGCGCAAGCCUGAUCCAGCAAUACCGCGUGUGUGAAGAAGGCCCUAGGGUUGUAAAGCACUUUCAAUGGGGAGGAAAACCUGUCGGUCAAUACCCGGUAGCUUGACAUUACCUAUAGAAGAAGCACCGGCUAACUCCGUGCCAGCAGCCGCGGUAAU